GCAAUAGGCAGUUCGCUGUCGGCUGCACCCUGUGUCUCUUUACGACAUUUUGCCGUUGCUAUUAAAAGAUAUUUCUUAUAUUGUGACUAUCAAAUCUUAGUCUUGUGAAUUAUUAUAUUAAAACAUAAUUGUUUUACAACAAUAAAUUAGUAAUAGGAAAGCAGUUUAUAAAUUAUAAACCAAGACAUAAAUGUUUCAAGUGCAUUUUCUGUUGCAUUUAUAAAUAUAUUUGUUUAACCAAAGAUAUCUCUUCAUUUAUAUUAAACAUGGUCGAUUUUACGGAUUUAACAGUAUCAAAUAAGGAAGAAAACAAAUUCUAUAAAAUCGGAAAUUGUGCUUUAAAAUUUUCUGUUAAAAGCAAAGGAGGUGUUGCUAUUGGGCUAGCAAGCUGCCCUGGUGAUGAUACUAUUCACUGGAUUGUAAUUGGUAACCGAUUUUCCUGGAUUGUUCAAACUGAUAAAAUCAAAACGCCAGGUAUUCUAUCAGAACAUGAAUACCGACCUUUUUGGGUUAGUUGGUACAACAAUCAAAUCAGAUUCGGUGUCGGCGGUUUAUCUACACCCAUAGCAGAGACAACCAAGUUCAAAGAUAUCAAAUAUUUGACAUUUUCCACAUUCAAACGAAACAUUGUGAAAUUUAAAUUGCAAUUGCCCCUCGAUUUGCCGGAUCCUGUUUAUAAAGAGAUAGAUACUGGAAAGCUAAGAUGGGUUAAGAUGACUAAUGGUGUCUUGCCAGAAGGCGCUCUAAUUGGAGGUUUUGAAAAUGAAAUUCUUUAUAUAAUGAGAGUCAUGCAUGAGAGUGCAUUGACACCUGGGAAGUAUGUACCUUCAGAGAAAGCUGGAUUUGUGGCCUGGGGAUAUCGGUCACACCGAAAAACUGAAGAUAUAGAGAUUUUGUGCGGGUACGAUGGUAUUUGGGUCCCAACCGAGAAAGAUAUAAUUCCUUUUGGGGCGCCAAUUUGUGGUCUUACAGAAUACGGGGAGGAUAUGUUUGUCGGUCGGGCGCUAUAUGACGAUAUUCUUAUGCCGGGCAAAAUAGCUCCUUCGCACAAAGUUUGUUAUUUGGCAUACGAGGAUAGGACUGUAUCUAAUCAGUCCUACGAAAUUUUAGUGUUGCUAAAUUGUAGGAAUCAUCUUCAUUUGUAACAAUUCAUCUUACUGCCAAACGCACUCAACACAAGCUGUGCGUUAGACAUCUCCUUGUGUUAUCCUGAUUUUGAAAUUAUCACGAGUUUUUGGUUCCGGUUAAGUGCCGUUCGCUAGUCAUAACCGUAGUGCAAUUUAGUAUGGAGAAGAAAAUUGUCACGGAAACCUGUCCCAUUCGAGCUUCCAAUCGAAAUGUUCAAGUGACAUUGCACUGAUAAUACUUUGUGGAUAUGAUGGAAUUUGGAAGUUGCUACGACCGACGAUUAAAAAAAUGUCCUUGCCGGGGGCGGUGCAAGGUGGUUACAAGUUAGUGCAGUCUGUGUCCGGGAUAAACCAAGAACCUCUCUUCGUGUGCCGAGCUUUAGAUACGACCGGUGUUAUUCCUGGAUCACUGAAAACAUUAACUAAGUUUUGCGACUAUGCCUCUGAAGAGAAAUCUCAAUGGAGCUCGACAUACGAAAUUUUAACCGUUCUUAACCCCGAGGAAUAGGCGUACUACCAUUGAAUAUUAUCGUGAACAAUUAAAUGUAACCGUUUUACCCUCAAGUAUAGGAAUAGUUUUAAUUUCCGAGUCAUUUAUGAUGUAAUCAGUAUUUAAUUAUUCAAACAAUAAACUAUUAUAAUGCUCAAA